rnacentral:rRNA from 1 species
CGGCGAUGUCCGAAUGGGGAAACCCAGUGCAAUUCGUUGCACUAUCGUUAACUGAAUACAUAGGUUAACGAGGCGAACCGGGGGAACUGAAACAUCUAAGUACCCCGAGGAAAAGAAAUCAACCGAGAUUCCCCCAGUAGCGGCGAGCGAACGGGGAGCAGCCCAGAGUCUGAAUCAGCUUGUGUGUUAGUGGAACGGUCUGGAAAGUCCGACGGUACAGGGUGAUAGUCCCGUACACCAAAAUGCACAGGUUGUGAACUCGAAGAGUAGGGCGGGACACGUGGUAUCCUGUCUGAAUAUGGGGGGACCAUCCUCCAAGGCUAAAUACUCCUGACUGACCGAUAGUGAACCAGUACCGUGAGGGAAAGGCGAAAAGAACCCCGGCGAGGGGAGUGAAAAAGAACCUGAAACCGUGUACGUACAAGCAGUGGGAGCACCUUCGGGUGUGACUGCGUACCUUUUGUAUAAUGGGUCAGCGACUUAUAUUCUGUAGCAAGGUUAACCGUAUAGGGGAGCCGCAGGGAAACCGAGUCUUAACUGGGCGUUAAGUUGCAGGGUAUAGACCCGAAACCCGGUGAUCUAGCCAUGGGCAGGUUGAAGGUUGGGUAACACUAACUGGAGGACCGAACCGACUAAUGUUGAAAAAUUAGCGGAUGACUUGUGGCUGGGGGUGAAAGGCCAAUCAAACCGGGAGAUAGCUGGUUCUCCCCGAAAGCUAUUUAGGUAGCGCCUCGUGAACUCAUCUUCGGGGGUAGAGCACUGUUUCGGCUAGGGGGUCAUCCCGACUUACCAACCCGAUGCAAACUACGAAUACCGAAGAAUGUUAUCACGGGAGACACACGGCGGGUGCUAACGUCCGUCGUGAAGAGGGAAACAACCCAGACCGCCAGCUAAGGUCCCAAAGUCAUGGUUAAGUGGGAAACGAUGUGGGAAGGCACAGACAGCCAGGAUGUUGGCUUAGAAGCAGCCAUCAUUUAAAGAAAGCGUAAUAGCUCACUGGUCGAGUCGGCCUGCGCGGAAGAUGUAACGGGGCUAAACCAUGCACCGAAGCUGCGGCAGCGACGCUUAUGCGUUGUUGGGUAGGGGAGCGUUCUGUAAGCCUGCGAAGGUGGCCUGUGAGGGCUGCUGGAGGUAUCAGAAGUGCGAAUGCUGACAUAAGUAACGAUAAAGCGGGUGAAAAGCCCGCUCGCCGGAAGACCAAGGGUUCCUGUCCAACGUUAAUCGGGGCAGGGUGAGUCGACCCCUAAGGCGAGGCCGAAAGGCGUAGUCGAUGGGAAACAGGUUAAUAUUCCUGUACUUGGUGUUACUGCGAAGGGGGGACGGAGAAGGCUAUGUUAGCCGGGCGACGGUUGUCCCGGUUUAAGCAUGUAGGCGGAGGUUCCAGGUAAAUCCGGUACCUUUUAACGCUGAGGUGUGAUGACGAGGCACUACGGUGCUGAAGUAACAAAUGCCCUGCUUCCAGGAAAAGCCUCUAAGCAUCAGGUAACAUUAAAUCGUACCCCAAACCGACACAGGUGGUCAGGUAGAGAAUACCAAGGCGCUUGAGAGAACUCGGGUGAAGGAACUAGGCAAAAUGGUGCCGUAACUUCGGGAGAAGGCACGCUGGUGUGUAGGUGAAGUCCCUGCGGAUGGAGCUGAGACCAGUCGAAGAUACCAGCUGGCUGCAACUGUUUAUUAAAAACACAGCACUGUGCAAACACGAAAGUGGACGUAUACGGUGUGACGCCUGCCCGGUGCCGGAAGGUUAAUUGAUGGGGUUAUCCGUAAGGAGAAGCUCUUGAUCGAAGCCCCGGUAAACGGCGGCCGUAACUAUAACGGUCCUAAGGUAGCGAAAUUCCUUGUCGGGUAAGUUCCGACCUGCACGAAUGGCGUAAUGAUGGCCAGGCUGUCUCCACCCGAGACUCAGUGAAAUUGAACUCGCUGUGAAGAUGCAGUGUACCCGCGGCAAGACGGAAAGACCCCGUGAACCUUUACUAUAGCUUGACACUGAACAUUGAGCCUUGAUGUGUAGGAUAGGUGGGAGGCUUUGAAGCGUGGACGCCAGUCUGCGUGGAGCCAACCUUGAAAUACCACCCUUUAAUGUUUGAUGUUCUAACGUUGGCCCGUAAUCCGGGUUGCGGACAGUGUCUGGUGGGUAGUUUGACUGGGGCGGUCUCCUCCCAAAGAGUAACGGAGGAGCACGAAGGUUAGCUAAUCCUGGUCGGACAUCAGGAGGUUAGUGCAAUGGCAUAAGCUAGCUUGACUGCGAGCGUGACGGCGCGAGCAGGUGCGAAAGCAGGUCAUAGUGAUCCGGUGGUUCUGAAUGGAAGGGCCAUCGCUCAACGGAUAAAAGGUACUCCGGGGAUAACAGGCUGAUACCGCCCAAGAGUUCAUAUCGACGGCGGUGUUUGGCACCUCGAUGUCGGCUCAUCACAUCCUGGGGCUGAAGUAGGUCCCAAGGGUAUGGCUGUUCGCCAUUUAAAGUGGUACGCGAGCUGGGUUUAGAACGUCGUGAGACAGUUCGGUCCCUAUCUGCCGUGGGCGCUGGAGAAUUGAGGGGGGCUGCUCCUAGUACGAGAGGACCGGAGUGGACGCAUCACUGGUGUUCGGGUUGUCAUGCCAAUGGCACUGCCCGGUAGCUAAAUGCGGAAGAGAUAAGUGCUGAAAGCAUCUAAGCACGAAACUUGCCCCGAGAUGAGUUCUCCCUGAGACUUUAAGUCUCCUGAAGGAACGUUGAAGACGACGACGUUGAUAGGCCGGGUGUGUAAGCGCAGCGAUGCGUUGAGCUAACCGGUACUAAUGAACCGUGAGGCUUAACCUU